rnacentral:rRNA from 1 species
UACGGAGGGUGCGAGCGUUAUCCGGAAUUACUGGGUUUAAAGGGUGCGUAGGCGGCUUAGUAAGUCAGGGGUGAAAGUUCUGGGCUAAACCGAGGAAUUGCCUUUGAUACUGCUGAGCUUGAAUCAGGAUGAGGUAGGCGGAAUGUGGCAUGUAGCGGUGAAAUGCAUAGAUAUGCCAUAGAACACCGAUUGCGAAGGCAGCUUACUGGACCUUGAUUGACGCUGAGGCACGAAAGCGUGGGGAGCGAACAGG